AACGAACGCUGGCGGCGUGGAUUAGGCAUGCAAGUCGUACGCGAAAGAGGGGGUAACUCCUCGAGUAGAGUGGCGAACGGGUGAGUAACGCGUGAGAAACCUGCCUUCAACAGGGGGAUAACACUCCUAACGGGGUGCUAAUACCGCAUGAGACCACGGAGUCGCAUGGCUCUGAGGUCAAAGGUGGCCUCUAUUUAUAAGCUACCGGUUGAAGAUGGUCUCGCGUCCCAUUAGCUAGUUGGCGGUGUAAAAGACCACCAAGGCGACGAUGGGUAGCUGGUCUGAGAGGAUGGUCAGCCACACUGGGACUGAGAUACGGCCCAGACUCCUACGGGAGGCAG
rnacentral:rRNA from 1 species